CCUACGGGAGACAGCAGUGGGGGAUAUUGCACAAUGGACGAAACUCUGAUGCAGCGACGCCGCGUGAGGGAAGAAGGUCUUCGGAUUGUAAACCUCUGUCUUUGGGGAAGAAAAUGACGGUACCCAAAGAGGAAGCGCCGGCUAACUACGUGCCAGCAGGCGCGGUAAUACGUAGGGAGCGAGCGUGGUCCGGUAUUACUGGGUGUAAAGGGAGCGUAGGCGGGCGAGAAAGUCGAAUGUUAAAGCUACGGGCUGAACUGGUAGCUGCGUUCAAAACUUCUUGUCUUGAGUGAAGUAGAGGCAAGCGGAAUUCCUAGUGUAGCGGUGAAAUGCGUAGAUAUUAGGAGGAACACCAGUGGCGAAGGCGGCCUGCUGGGCUUUAACUGACGCUGAGGGUCGAAAGCGUGGGGAGCAAACAGGAUUAGAUACCCGUGUAGUC
rnacentral:rRNA from 1 species